rnacentral:rRNA from 1 species
CACCGCGGUUAUACGAGAGGCCCCAGUUGAUAAGUACGGCGUAAAGGGUGGUUAAGGUAAGAAAAAAAUAAAGCCAAAAAGCUUCUUGGCCGUCAUACGCCUCUGAACGCUUGAAGCCCUACAACGAAAGUAGCUUUAACAACUGUCCACCUGACCCCACGAAAGCUAAGGAA